GUUGGUGAACCAGCGGAGGGAUCAUUACAGAGUUACCAAAACUCCCAAACCCAUGUGAACAUACCUCGCGUUGCCUCGGCAGGUGGCGUCCUACCUCGUAGGGCACCUACCCUGUAGGACCUUACCCGGUGGGCGACCCUGCCGACGGCCCCCGAAACUCUGUUUUAUAUAGCAUUGAAUUUCUGAAAACAUAACUAAAUAAGUUAAAACUUUCAACAACGGAUCUCUUGGUUCUGGCAUCGAUGAAGAA
rnacentral:misc_RNA from 1 species